UAAAAGUCGUAACAAGGUUUUCGUAGGUGAACCUGCGGAAGGAUCAUUAAUGAAUUCGGGCGCUCGACUCUGAAAUAUUGAGAUCGGCCCCAUUUCUUAAUCCACUUCACACUUGUGCACAUUUUUCCUACUUUCCUUCGGGAGAGUUUGAAAAGCUCUUGUGAUUUUAAUCAAGUCCAGGAUGUGAAUCCAAUUUGAAUAAGUUGUAAAACAACUACAAACGGUGGAUCUCUUGGCUCUCGUAUCGAUGAAGAACGCAGCGAAACGCGAAAUGUAAUGUGAAUUGCAGAAUUCAGUGAAUCAUCGAAUCUUUGAACGCAUCUUGCACUCUCGAAUCACUAUCGAGAGUAUGCCUGUUUGAGUGUCGCGAAACUCUCAACCCCGCCUCAUGCUUUAUUGCGUGUGGGUAGCUUGGGCUUGGAUCAUGAUCUUUGCAGUAAUGCGCUAGCAGAACUGCUGGAUUGAAAUACAACAAGCUGAAUCUAUAUACUUGCGGCUUGACCUGUCGUUGUAAGCACACAAAUGCAUUCGAUGGGGACGCGAGAAAAUGGAAUGAGCUUUCCAAAUGUGUUACACUUUGCAGCUUCUAUUAACUUAGAGCUCUUAGUGCAUUCUGACCUCAAAUCAGGUAGGAUUACCCGCUGAACUUAAGCAUAUCAAUA
rnacentral:rRNA from 1 species